CCCCAGUAUUAGGUUAAAUUAGUGAGUUAUUAGUAAGGUUUUGAAAUUUAAAGUUUUUGGCGGUUAAUUUAUUUUUAGAGGAGCUUGUUUUAGAAAAUACUCUUUAUAUUUAGUUUAUGAAAGUUUAUUUAUCUCCGUUAUAAGAUUAAUAAUCAAUAAAUUUUAGAGUUUUAUUUCAGGUCAAGAUGUAGCAAUUGUAUAUAGUUAAUUAGCUACAUUUAUGAAAUAAUGAAUUAAAUAUUAAAGAAUUUUGUUAUGAAGUUGAAUUUAGUUGUAAUAUGUCUUAGGAUAGGUGCAUGAAAUAAUUAGAAUUAAUGUA
rnacentral:rRNA from 1 species